UACGUAGGAGGCGAGCGUUGUCCGGAAUUACUGGGCGUAAAGAGCGCGUAGGCGGCGCUGUACGACCCGCGUGAAAGCCCCCGGCUCAACCGGGGAGGGUCGCGGGUUACGGCAGUGCUCUGAGUGCAGGAGAGGGGAGUGGAACUCCGGGAGUAGCGGUGAAAUGCGUAGAUACCCGGAGGAACACCAGUGGCGAAGGCGGCUCCCUGGUCUGCAACUGACGCUGUGGCGCGAAAGCUGGGGGAGCGAACGG
rnacentral:rRNA from 1 species